rnacentral:rRNA from 1 species
UAGGGAAUAUUGCUUAAUGGGCGAAAGCCUGAGGCAGCAACGCCGCGUGAACGAAGAAGGCCUUCGGGUCGUAAAGUUCUUUUACGUGGGAUGAGGAAGGACAGUACCACGAGAAUAAGUCUCGGCUAACUACGUGCCAGCAGCCGCGGUAAAACGUAGGCGACGAGCGUUAUCCGGAUUUACUGGGCGUAAAGCGCGUGUAGGAGGCGCUACAAGUUGGAUGUGAAAGCUCCCGGCUUAACUGGGAGAGGUCGUUCAAGACUGUAGGGCUAGAGUGAGACAGAGGUAGAUGGAACUCCGGGAGGAGUGGUGGAAUGCGUAGAUAUACGGAAGAACAACAGAGGCGAAAGCGAUCUACUGGGACUAAACUGACACUGAGACGCGAAAG